UAUUCAUAUACACCUACACAUCUUGUUCGAGACGUGAUAGCGGAAAGGAACAAGCGAGGAUGAAGAACGUUGGAAAUUGUCACCUGAACAUGUUCCGGGGUCCCCAAUACGUAUACAACUCCCGCAGCUAUAUUUUCCGGCUCAAGACACGGACAUUUGGUGAAAUAAUCUUCGGAGGCAGGGAGACCUGCUGCCCGAACGAUGUCCGUCUUGACAACUCCAGGACUGAUGCUCUGAAGAAAUAAUUAAAUGACCAUGAGUCAAGCCUCACUCCAAUUUUCACAACCGUGAGAUGAAUCUCACAGGAUUGAUCGUUCACCUGUUGAUAUUGAUGAUGUGACCCGCUAUGUUUCGCCUUUGCAUUGAAGCCACGGUUUCUUUCACACCGACGGCAGACGCCAUGAC